rnacentral:rRNA from 1 species
AAUGAACGCUGGCGGCGCGCCUAAUACAUGCAAGUCGAGCGAGAAGACGUAGCAAUACGUUUGUAAAGCGGCGAACGGGUGAGGAAUACAUGGGUAACCUACCCUCGAGUGGGGAAUAACUAGCCGAAAGGUUAGCUAAUACCGCGUACGCUUCUUGGACUUCGGUUCAGGGAGGAAAGCGAUGCCGAGGGUAUCGCGCUCUUGGAUGGGCUCAUGUCCUAUCAGCUUGUUGGGAGGUAACGGCUCACCAAGGCUUCGACGGGUAGCUGGUCUGAGAGGACGAUCAGCCACACUGGCACUGCGACACGGGCCAGACUCCUACGGGAGGCAGCAGUAAGGAAUAUUGCGCAAUGGGCGAAAGCCUGACGCAGCGACGCCGCGUGGGGGAGUGAAGGU